UUCACCACUGGUGUUUUGCUAAUGCUCAGUGCCAGAGAUCAUUGGGGGUGGGGGUGAGGAGUGUGUGCUCAAGACUUCAAUCAACAACCAUGCAUUAGGUGCCUCCACUAAUUGAUGUGAACCACAAAAAUGCACGAUUUAUAAAAGAAGGGAGAAAGGAGGCAGGACGGAGAGGGACCUCUGAUGUGAUAUUGGAGUUCAAGAAGAACAAGUCUAAUCCAUCUAAUGACAGCUUCCCAAAUAUGUAGUCCCCAUGGAUCUGACAUCUGGUGCCCAAACAUUCUGAUCCCCAGAGGAUUGAGGACCCCUCAUUGAAGGAUUACAGGUAAGAAAAAACCUACCAGGGGAGGAGGGAAGGGGACAGGGCAGGGAGUAAAAAAGACUAGUCAGGAGUCCAGCCAGGAAGAUUUAAAGCCAGGAGGGCUCACCAGGUCAGAAGGAUCUUAAGCUAAAUAAUAAAUAGGAAUAAGAACAUGAGACA
rnacentral:lncRNA from 1 species